rnacentral:rRNA from 1 species
GACGAACGCUGGCGGCGUGCCUAAUACAUGCAAGUUGAGCGCUGAAGGUUGGUACUUGUACCGACUGGAUGAGCAGCGCACGGGUGAGUCACGCGUGGGGAAUCUGCCUUUGAGCGGGGGACAACAUUUGGAAACGAAUGCUAAUACCGCAUAAAAACUUUCAACACAAGUUUUAAGUUUGAAAUAUGCAAUUUCAUCACUCAAAGAUGAUCCCGCGUUGUAUUAGCUAGUUGGUGAGGUAAAGGCUCAUCAAGGCGAUGUUACAUAGCCGACCUGAGAGGGUGAUCGGCCACAUUGAGACUGAGACACGGCCCAAACUCCUACGGGAGGCGGCAGUAGGGAAUCUGCGGCAAGGGACGAAAGACAGACCGAGCAACGCGGCGGGAGGGAAGAAGGGUGUCGGAUCGUAGAACUCGGUUGGUAGAGAAGAACGUUGGUGAGAGUGGAAAGCUCAUCAAGUGACGGUAACUACCCAGGAAGGGACGGCUAACUACGUG